rnacentral:rRNA from 1 species
GCCUCCAGCCACACCACUCAGAACACACCAGUCUUGUCUGAUCCUGGAAGCUAAGCAGAGUCAGGUCUGGUUAGUGCUUGGAUGGGAGGGAGCAGAAGCCAGCCAGGAAGCA